rnacentral:rRNA from 1 species
UACAGAGGGUGCAAGCGUUGUUCGGAAUUAUUGGGCGUAAAGCGCGCGCAGGUGGUUUCUUAAGUCUGAUGUGAAAGCCCACGGCUCAACCGUGGAGGGUCAUUGGAAACUGGGGAACUUGAGUGCAGAAGAGGAAAGUGGAAUUCCAAGUGUAGCGGUGAAAUGCGUAGAGAUUUGGAGGAACACCAGUGGCGAAGGCGACUUUCUGGUCUGUAACUGACACUGAGGCGCGAAAGCGUGGGGAGCAAACAGG